rnacentral:rRNA from 1 species
GAUGAACGCUGGCGGCGUGCCUAAUACAUGCGAGUCGAGCGAACAGAUGAGGAGCUUGCUCCUCUGACGUUAGCGGCGGACGGGUGAGUAAAACGUGGAUAACCUACCUAUAAGACUGGGAUAACUUCGGGAAACCGGAGCUAAUACCGGAAAAUAUAUUGAACCGCAUGGUUCAAUAGUGAAAGACGGUUUUGCUGUCACUUAUAGAUGGAUCCGCGCCGCAUUAGCUAGUUGGUAAGGUAACGGCUUACCAAGGCAACGAUGCGUAGCCGACCUGAGAGGGUAAUCGGCCACACUGGAACAGAGACACGGUCCAGACUCCUCCGCGGAGCAGCAGUAGGGAAUCUUCCGCAAUGGGCGAAAGCUUGACGGAGCAACGCCGCGUGAGUGAUGAAGGUCUUCGGAUCGUAAAACUCUGUUAUUAGGGAAGAACAAAUGUGUAAGUAACUAUGCACGUCUUGACGGUACCUAAUCAGAAAGCCACGGCUAACUACGUG